rnacentral:rRNA from 1 species
ACUCAAAUGAAUUGACGGGGACCCGCACAAGCGGUGGAUUAUGUGGAUUAAUUCGAUGCAACGCGAAAAACCUUACCUACCCUUGACAUGUCAGGAACGCCGCAGAGAUGUGGCGGUGCCCGAAAGGGAACCUGAACACAGGUGCUGCAUGGCUGUCGUCAGCUCGUGUCGUGAGAUGUUGGGUUAAGUCCCGCAACGAGCGCAACCCUUGUCAUUAGUUGCUACAUUCAGUUGGGCACUCUAAUGAGACUGCCGGUGACAAACCGGAGGAAGGUGGGGAUGACGUCAAGUCCUCAUGGCCCUUAUGGGUAGGGCUUCACACGUAAUACAAUGGCCGGUACAGAGGGUUGCCAACCCGCGAGGGGGAGCCAAUCCCAGAAAGCCGGUCGUAGUCCGGAUUGUUCUCUGCAACUCGAGAGCAUGAAGUUGGAAUCGCUAGUAAUCGCGGAUCAGCAUGUCGCGGUGAAUACGUUCCCGGGUCUUGUACACACCGCCCGU